rnacentral:rRNA from 1 species
UACGGGGGGGGCAAGCGUUGUUCGGAAUUACUGGGCGUAAAGGGCGCGUAGGCGGCCUUCUAAGUCAGACGUGAAAUCCCCAGGCUUAACCUGGGAACUGCGUCUGAUACUGGAUGGCUUGAAUUCGGGAGAGGGAUGCAGAAUUCCAGGUGUAGCGGUGAAAUGCGUAGAUAUCUGGAGGAAUACCGGUGGCGAAGGCGGCAUCCUGGACCGAGAUUGACACUGAUGAGCGAAAGCCAGGGGAGCAAACGGG